UGGGGAAUAUUGCACAAUGGGGGAAACCCUGAUGCAGCGACGCCGCGUGAGCGAAGAAGGUUUUCGAAUCGUAAAGCUCUGUCCUAUGAGAAGAUAAUGACGGUAUCAUAGGAGGAAGCCCCGGCUAACUACGUGCCAGCAGCCGCGGUAAUACGUAGGGCGCAAGCGUUAUCCGGAAUUAUUGGGCGUAAAGAGCUUGUAGGCGGUUCGUCGCGUCUGGUGUGAAAGCCCAUCGCUUAACGGUGGGUUUGCGCCGGGUACGGGCGGGCUAGAGUGCAGUAGGGGAGACUGGAAUUCCCGGUGUAACGGUGGCAUGUGUAGAUAUCGGGAAGAACACCAAUGGCGAAGGCAGGGCUCUGGGCUGUUACUGACGCUGAGAAGCGAAAGCGUGGGGAGCGAACAGG
rnacentral:rRNA from 1 species